rnacentral:rRNA from 1 species
GGGGGCAACCCUGGCGGCGAGCGGCGAACGGGUGAGUAAUGCAUCGGAACGUGUCCUCUUGUGGGGGAUAACCAGUCGAAAGACUGGCUAAUACCGCAUGAGAUCGAGAGAUGAAAGCAGGGGACCGCAAGGCCUUGCGCGAGAGGAGCGGCCGAUGCCGGAUUAGCUAGUUGGUGGGGUAACGGCCCACCAAGGCGACGAUCCGUAGCUGGUCUGAGAGGACGACCAGCCACACUGGGACUGAGACACGGCCCAGACUCCUACGGGAGGCAGCAGUGGGGAAUUUUGGACAAUGGGGGCAACCCUGAUCCAGCCAUGCCGCGUGUGUGAAGAAGGCCUUCGGGUUGUAAAGCACUUUCGGACGGAACGAAAUCGCGCGGGUGAAUAUCCCGCGUGGAUGACGGUACCGUAAGAAGAAGCACCGGCUAACUACGUGCCAGCAGCCGCGGUAAUACGUAGGGUGCGAGCGUUAAUCGGAAUUACUGGGCGUAAAGUGUGCGCAGGUGGCCUCGCAAGUCGAGUGUGAAAUCCCCGGGCUUAACUUGGGAAUUGCGCUCGAAACUACGGGGCUCGAGUGUGGCAGAGGGAGGUGGAAUUCCACGUGUAGCGGUGAAAUGCGUAGAGAUGUGGAGGAACACCAAUGGCGAAGGCAGCCUCCUGGGCCAACACUGACGCUCAUG